rnacentral:tRNA from 1 species
GGAAUGAUGCACAAGGUUGUGCCUUUUGAUUGCAGAUCAAUGAGUUGAGGUUCGAGUCCUUAUCAUUCCU